GGGGGUAUAGCUCAGUGGUAGAGCAUGUGCUUAGCAUGCACGAGGCCCUGGGUUCAAUACCCAGUACCUCUA
rnacentral:tRNA from 2 species